rnacentral:rRNA from 1 species
UCCGCAGGCGGACUUUUAAGUCGGUGGUGAAUCCUGCAGCUUAACUGUAGAACUGCCUUCGAUACUGAAAGUCUUGAAUACGGGAGAGGGUAACGGAAUUCCAGGUGUAGCGGUGAAAUGCUUAGAUAUCCGGAGGAACACCGGUUGCGAAGGCUGUUGCCUGGCCCGUUAUUGACGCUCAUGGACGAAAGCGUGGGGAUCAAACA